rnacentral:snRNA from 1 species
GUGUUUGCUUCAGCAACAUGUAUACUAAAAUUGGAAUGAUAUAGAGAAGAUAAGCAUGGCCCCUGCACAAGGAUGACACACAAAUUCAUGAAGCGUCCCAUAUUUU